UCGGGAAUUUUGGGCAAUGGGGGAAACCCUGACCCAGCAACGCCGCGUGAAGGAUGAAGUAUCUCGGUAUGUAAACUUCGAAAGAAUAGGAAGAAUAAAUGACGGUACUAUUUAUAAGGUCCGGCUAACUACGUGCCAGCAGCCGCGGUAAUACGUAGGGACCAAGCGUUGUUCGGAUUUACUGGGCGUAAAGGGCGCGUAGGCGGCAUGACAAGUCACUUGUGAAAUCUCUGGGCUUAACCCAGAACGGCCAAGUGAUACUGUCGCGCUAGAGUGCAGAAGGGGCAAUCGGAAUUCUUGGUGUAGCGGUGAAAUGCGUAGAUAUCAAGAGGAACACCUGAGGUGAAGACGGGUUGCUGGGCUGACACUGACGCUGAGGCGCGAAAGCCAGGGGAGCAAACGGGAUUAGAUACCCACGUAGUCCCUGAGCGGGCUGGCAAGGCGCAU
rnacentral:rRNA from 1 species